rnacentral:tRNA from 1 species
AGCCCUGUGGCCUUAUGGGUAGAGCACAGGCCUGGGAAGUCAGAAAACCUGGGUUCUAAUCCCCGCACCGCUA